CCUACGGGGGGCUGCAGUGGGGAAUAUUGGACAAUGGGGGGAACCCUGAUCCAGCCAUGCCGCGUGUGUGAAGAAGGCCCUCGGGUUGUAAAGCACUUUCAGUGAGGAAGAACGCCUGGUGGUUAAUACCCAUCAGGAAAGACAUCACUCACAGAAGAAGCACCGGCUAACUCCGUGCCAGCAGCCGCGGUAAUACGGAGGGUGCGAGCGUUAAUCGGAAUUACUGGGCGUAAAGCGCGCGUAGGUGGCUUGAUAAGCCGGUUGUGAAAGCCCCGGGCUCAACCUGGGAACGGCAUCCGGAACUGUCAAGCUAGAGUGCAGGAGAGGAAGGUAGAAUUCCCGGUGUAGCGGUGAAAUGCGUAGAGAUCGGGAGGAAUACCAGUGGCGAAGGCGGCCUUCUGGACUGACACUGACACUGAGGUGCGAAAGCGUGGGUAGCAAAUAGGAUUAGAUACCCCAGUAGUC
rnacentral:rRNA from 1 species